rnacentral:lncRNA from 1 species
AUAGAGAUAGGCCAUUGAGACGGUUACUAUAUUCCGUGUUUUAGACACGAUGACAUAGAGGCAGGCCUUUGGGACAUGUGCUGUAUUCCGGGUUUUAGAUCCGAUGAAACAGUGAUGAACCACUGGGACCUGAGACGGACUUAUUCGCUUGCAUGCCAUUGUGCUCAUUCGCACAUACUUGUGAGGGUCGCUCCCCACAAGUCGGCACUCCGGAGAUAGCCAUCGCGACACAUGCUUGCCUGUGCGGGAUUGGGCACCAAAAUGGGAUGCCGUGGGGGAGGCUCAUUCCUAGAGUGGGGAUGUUGACUACCACGGGGCCAUUGUUGGCACGGCGCAGGCCGGACUACCUACGGGUAGCUUCCACAGGAUUGGGUUACUGGUGACAUAUUGUACCUUUUGGACAUUGACUAGAAUAGUAAACAUUGACAUCUUUAUUAUUUACAUUGUG